AGGUGAAACGGGUCGUCCCCAUACCCCGUCCGGUAUGGGUGCCAAAAUACAUAAGGUCUCCAUACCCCGUCCGAUAUGAGAGACCACGUUCCCGGUAGGGUUCCCUACGGACCCGGUCCGUCCACCAUCUCCCAAGAUAUCUAGUUAGGCUGUCGACAUCAUCCAUUUAUCAAUUCACAUACCAUUUUUCAUUUUUCUCGGUCUCAAUUAUCCAAUCAAAU
rnacentral:lncRNA from 1 species